rnacentral:rRNA from 1 species
GUCCACGCCGUAAACGAUGAAUACUAGGUGUCGGGUGGCAAAGCCAUUCGGUGCCGCAGCUAACGCAAUAAGUAUUCCACCUGGGGAGUACGUUCGCAAGAAUGAAACUCAAAGGAAUUGACGGGGACCCGCACAAGCGGUGGAGCAUGUGGUUUAAUUCGACGCAACGCGAAGAACCUUACCAAGUCUUGACAUCCUUUUGACCGGUCGGUAAUGCGACCUUCUCUUCGGAGCAAAAGUGACAGGUGGUGCAUGGUUGUCGU